rnacentral:lncRNA from 1 species
UUGAUUGGUUGGCAAGAUAAAAGCUCGAUUUAUGCAGAGUCCUCCAUUCAUCACAUGGACACGGGUACUAAUGAUCACAAAUUAUUGAUUAUUAUAUUCUUUGGCUUGAAAUUUGAAAUUAUUGAUUACUUUGAUCAGUUAGAUUGGAAUUUGAGGAGCUAUGUCUUGUCGGUGUCUGAGUUUUGGUUCACUACAUCAAAUUUAUACCACAUCCAGAUUGAUGACUGUGAUAU